rnacentral:rRNA from 1 species
ACGAACGCUGGUGGCAUGCCUAAUACAUGCAAGUCGAACGAGAAAGCUCUUCGGAGUGAGUAGAGUGGCGCACGGGUGAGUAACGCGUAGGUGAUAUGCCUAUUAGUGGGGGACAACAGUUGGAAACGGCUGCUAAUACCGCAUAAGCUUGGUGACAUUAGGAAAAACCAAGGGAAAGGGGGCUUCGGCUCUCGCUAGUAGAUUGGCCUGCGUAGCAUUAGCUUGUUGGUGGGUAAUGGCCUACCAAGGCGACGAUGCUUAACUGGUCUGAGAGGAUGAUCAGUCACACUGGAACUGAGACACGGUCCAGACUCCUACGGGAGGCAGCAGUAGGGAAUAUUGC